ACGCUGUCAGACUCAUCAUAUUUUUAGAAACUGAAACUGAAUAUUUACCUUCAUGAAACACAAUUUAGCCUAAAUUCAGACUCAUUUUUACAGUUUAAUUUGACUUAGAGGAACUAAAUAGCUUGCUAUAAUUAACCCCAGGAGUUUACAGCUUAAGAUAUAUAUGAUACAAAACAAUAUUAGCUUAUCAUUAGCAACUAGCUUAGCUUCUGUUCUGCAGGGGAUUCUGACGUACUUCGAGUUUUAAAGAAGUCACAACGAUGUCGGACGACUAUGAGUUCAGCGAUGACACGACUAUGAUGAGAAUGGAGGAGGAUGGAGAGGCGAACAGUGAUGAUCCGAUGUCUGCGGCCGGAGACUGUGGUCUGAUGGGAGGCGAGGCCGAGGGGUCGAGGAUUGAUGCCAGUAAAAACGAGGAGGAUGAGGGGAAGAUGUUUGUCGGAGGGCUCAGCUGGGACACCACCAAGAAGGACCUGAAAGAUUACUUUUCCAAGUAUGGCGAGGUUGUAGACUGCACUUUGAAACUGGACCCCAUGACUGGCCGUUCAAGGGGUUUUGGCUUUGUGCUCUUCAAAGAACCUGACAGUGUUGACAAGGUUGUCACACAUAAGGAACAUAAACUCAAUGGAAAGGUCAUUGACCCCAAAAAAGCCAAGGCCAUGAAGAGCAAGGAGCCCGUGAAGAAGAUCUUUGUUGGUGGUCUCUCUCCAGACACUCCUGAAGAGAAAGUCAGAGAGUACUUUGGUGCCUUCGGAGAGGUGGAGUCUAUUGAACUACCCAUGGAGAACAAAACAAACAAAAGGAGAGGCUUCUGCUUCAUCACAUUCAAAGAGGAAGAACCAGUUAAGGGGAUCAUGGAGAAAAAGUACCACAAUAUUGGACUAAGCAAGUGUGAAAUAAAAGUGGCAAUGUCCAAGGAGCAGUACCAGCAGCAGCAGUACUGGGGAGGAAGAGGUGGAUACUCAUCCAGGUCUCGAGGAAGAGGCGGUGGUCCCAAUCAAAACUGGAACCAGGGUUAUGGCAACUACUGGAAUCAAGGCUACGGGAAUUAUGGCAAUUAUGGCAAUUAUGGCAAUUAUGGUUACAGUAACCAAGGAUAUGGUGGCUAUGAUUACCCUGGCUACAACAACUAUUAUGGAUAUGGUGACUACAACAACUUUGCGACACACUUCUAGAUCAAUCCGGUGGAUACGGCAAGUCGCCACGGCGUGUAGGUCACACCAACAGUUACAAGCCGUAUUAAUGGAGGAAACCCUCAACUUCAAGUAGCGGAGCUUCCUUGCAGGCCAUGAGCUGACUCCCAGAUACUCUCAGGGCCCGCUCAAUGCGGACCGGGUACGAGAAGCAUACGCUCUCGAAUGCUGCCAUUUGGUAUGGUCUUACAACAUCCUGUAUCAGCAUUUCUAAACUAAACAAUAUGGGACACGUCCAAGCUUUGUCAUCUUUCUUUCCAUUUUAAUUUCUUUGCAAAUGUUUGUAAUGUAAAACUUAAAAAUAUACACAUGUAAUUGUCAUUUUUUACAGGCCCUUACUUCACCCACAAGUAAUGAUUAUAAAUAUGUAAAAAUAACUAUUUGCUUUUCAAAGGAAACGUACAGCAUUCUCUGGACUUUCCAGUUCCUAUUGUUAAUAUAUGCAUUCCUAAUCUUAUGUAAAAUGCUUGUUUUCUUUAUUUAGCUCUUGUAGCCAGUAGUCCAUGAGCUAAAACCUGGUUGGAGACUGUGUCGGGGGGGAUAAAAGUGCUUUACUUUGUGUACAUGUAUUGCUCUGUUUUGUCUUACUGACAGCGAUGGAAAAGACUUCUCUUUUUGUUAAUUUUCCUGUAACAAAUUUUCCUCUUAAUAACCUUUUGUAAAACAACAAGUUUGCAUGUAAUGCUUUCUGUAAUGUGUAUUUUUUAUGACCAAUCGAAGGUUUUCUUCCAUUUAGUAUUUUGACUUCUUCAAUUUAUUGCACUUCAGGAUUUCUAGCUUAUGGACUAACUUUUUUUUUUUAACUGUAAAAUAAUUGUUCUCAGUUUGUUUUUGACAUUGGACAUUAUAAACACGGGGGAUUCCUGUUUAUUUUUUAAUUUUAACAGGUUUUUGUUCAUCUAAAACUGAUUUGUUUCUGUUUGUUUUUCAUAGGUUUCAGAGUGAUGAAAGACAGCAGUGGGCUGGUGGAGCAUUGGCCAGAGAGAUGAUGGUAUCCAGCAAAGAGCACUAAGCUGAUUGUAAGAGAAUAAUGAAGAGCGCUAUGAACCUACAGCACAUUUCCUCUACAUUUACCGGCGUGUUCGUUGUUACAAGUUUUGGUGUUUUUGCAUUUAUUUAGAUUGCUGCAAAGUUUUAGCAGUUUGCGUUCCUCAUCUCUUCUUGUUUUUGUAUUUAAUGUUUCUCAGAUGCUAUUUGUGAAUUUGCUUCAUUUAUUAUUACACAGACUGAAAUGUUAGAUUGGUUGGAACAGAUUGCACAUAUAUAUAUAUAUAUUAUACAGUUUUGUGGUAGCAAAGAAUGCAUCAAAUGCAAUUUAUCCUCUUUAUCAUAUUUAUCAGUCAUAUAAUACAUUUGUCAUUACAGAGUUUCAGUCAUAAACAUACAGUAUAUAUAAGUUAAUAUAUAUAUACAGUUAAUUGGACAUACAGAAAUGCGAUAAAAUAAAAAUAAACAUUUGGAUUUGUGAUCCUUUGUGAAAUAUUACACGUCAAAGACUGUUGGAGUGUUCAAGGAAGUAAUUCAGCCAAGUUUCUAUCAUCGUAUCGCAGAGCAGCCUAAUCAAUAAGCUUGCAGAUGUU